UACGGGGGGGGGCAAGCGUUGUUCGGAAUUACUGGGCGUAAAGGGCGCGUAGGCGGCCAUCUAAGUCAGACGUGAAAUCCCCCGGCUUAACCUGGGAACUGCGUCUGAUACUGGAAGGCUUGAGUAUGGGAGAGGGAUGUAGAAUUCCAGGUGUAGCGGUGAAAUGCGUAGAUAUCUGGAGGAAUACCGGUGGCGAAGGCGGCAUCCUGGACCAUUACUGACGCUGAGGCGCGAAAGCUAGGGGAGCAAACGGG
rnacentral:rRNA from 1 species